rnacentral:misc_RNA from 1 species
UCUCCGUUGGUGAACCAGCGGAGGGAUCAUUACUGGAAUCGCAAGAUCCCACAACCCCUGUGAACCUACCGAAACGUUGCCUCGGCGGGCGCCCGGCCCCGCGCCGGGCGCUGAGCCCGCCGGCGGCCCCCUACUCUCGUCUCUGCAGCGUGGCAUCUCAGAGUCCCGGAAAACAAGUAAAAACUUUCAACAACGGAUCUCUUGGCUCUA